CAAGGAAUGGUGUUGCUGCCAGGACAGAGACUGGGAGUCAGAUAAAGGAACUGCUGUGCCAUUUGAGUCUCUGGGGCUCAGGGAGAAUGCAUAGAGAGAGAGGACAGAACAAGCCCUGCAGCCCACUAGGCCAGAGGCUG